GAUGAACGCUGGCGGCGUGCUUAACACAUGCAAGUCGAACGGUGAAAGAGAGCUUGCUCUCUGGAUCAGUGGCGAACGGGUGAGUAACACGUGAGCAAUCUGCCCCUGACUCUGGGAUAAGCGCUGGAAACGGCGUCUAAUACCGGAUACGAGCUGCGAAGGCAUCUUCAGCAGCUGGAAAGAACUUCGGUCAGGGAUGAGCUCGCGGCCUAUCAGCUAGUUGGUGAGGUAACGGCUCACCAAGGCGUCGACGGGUAGCCGGCCUGAGAGGGUGACCGGCCACACUGGGACUGAGACACGGCCCAGACUCCUACGGGAGGCAGCAGUGGGGAAUAUUGCACAAUGGGCGAAAGCCUGAUGCAGCAACGCCGCGUGAGGGACGACGGCCUUCGGGUUGUAAACCUCUUUUAGCAGGGAAGAAGCGAAAGUGACGGUACCUGCAGAAAAAGCACCGGCUAACUACGUG
rnacentral:rRNA from 1 species